GAUAAAUGCCAUCUGCAAUGAUCGGACUACUGUUGAUUUUCACCGUGUCAGCGACAUCAUUUGCUGGUCAGUACCACGCCGGGAACUAUGCUGUUAAUUCUUUCGUGGCACCAGCGUUUUCAACUGGUCACCAGAGAGGAAUAUUUGGUUGCUUUUUCAACUGGCGGUACUAUCUCCCAGGAGAUGUGUUCCCUGCC